rnacentral:lncRNA from 1 species
GGCAGGAUCAUUCAGUCUGACCCGCAGACCCUGGCUGAGCUGGUGAACCUGGGCCUGGCUAUCAUUGUGAGUGGGGCUGGGCAAGGAACACAGGGAGAGGGCACCAGCCCCAUGUGGGGCUGGAGGGUGGGGGGUCCGCUCGCCGGGGCUGUGGCCUCACCUUUGCUCUGCACCAGGGCCCCGGAGAGGUCGUAAAGCCCAACAGGGAGGCAGAGCUGAUCGGCAUCAUUGCAGGGCUGGCAGCAUUCCUGCUCCUCUUCAUCCUCAUCAUGACCCUGGUCUUGGUUUUCACCACCAAGAGCUACAAGAGAAAGCUGAGUGCCAUGAAGGCUCUGAAGGCGGCCACAACGAUCAGCCCUGCCAUGGUGCAGCAGGGAGCCGGCAUCCCCGGGACCAACCAGUACAAUGCAGAGGGGUGAGUGGGGGGGUGGUGGGGGCUUCCUGAAGCAGGAGGGGAGAGCCCAGGCUGUCCCCAC